AGAGAGGAGAGGGAGAAGAGGCAUGGAAAAGGAGAUUGGGAGGGGGAGAAGAAGGGAGAUGAAAAGGGUUUGAAUACGUGACAGUGAUGUAGUGUCAGUCUUAGCAUGGCUCAUUGCCAGUAAUGUCUUCCAUAUUUCUGUCUUAUGGGACUCCCAAUCACGGCCGGAUGUGAUACAGCUUGGCUUUGAACCAGGGACUGUAGUAACACCUCUUGCACUGAGAUGCAGUGCCUUAUACCGCUGCGCCACUCGGGAUUCCUAUAUAAUGCUCUGCUUUUGACCAACACCCUACUCGUCCUGGUCAUAAGUAGUGUAUUAUAUAGGGAAUAGGGGCCCAUUUCAGAUGCACCCAGAGUCUCAAGCAGCAUUGAAUGCAUGGUCCCCCCAGUUUGUAUUAGAUAGUCAGGUGCUUGGACCCUACCAUGCCAGGUAGGAUCCAGAUUAACCCAGUCCAACCAGCACCUUGGCUCGACACAAAAUGUGGUUGUCAAGCAGUUUGUCCAGGUGGCCCUCAGUACAUCACUACAUCUACAGUACAUUUGUUGAAUGCAAGUGUUGGUGUCAGGCAGAAUAAAGGGAGAGUAUGUGGUUAGGAGGUGAAGGGAGGGUUUUACUUCAGAGCGAGAAGGAGAAAGGCCACUGGCUACGUAGCUACAUGGUAGUUAACUUUCACUGUAUGUGUCCCUGAGCUGGAGAUAGGGUGUCUGUCUUUGUGUAGGAGGUGGGGGUAGCAAGCUAUGAUGCCGGUGUUUGUUGAGCCAUCUCUCCCACCCCUACCCACCAGUGUUUUGUUUCAGGAUAUAGAAACUUAGAGAAAGGUGGCUAUAGACUUAGAGAAAGGUGGAUAUAGACUUAGAGAAAGGUGGAUAUAGACUUAGAGAAAGGUGGAUAUAGACUUAGAGAAAGGUGGAUAUAGACUUAGAGAAAGGUGGAUAUAGACUUAGAGAAAGGUGGAUAUAGACUUAGAGAAAGGUGGAUAUAGACUUAGAGAAAGGUGGAUAUAGACUUAGAGAAAGGUGGAUAUAGACUUAGAGAAAGGUGGAUAUAGACUUAGAGAAAGGUGGAUAUAGACUUAGAGAAAGGUGGAUAUAGACUUAGAGAAAGGUAGAUAUAGACUUAGAGAAAGGUGGAUAUAGACUUAGAGAAAGGUGG